rnacentral:rRNA from 1 species
UACGGAAGGCAGUAGUGGGGAAUAUUGCACAAUGGGCGAAAGCCUGAUGCAGCUAUGCCGCGUGUAUGAAGAAGGCCUUAGGGUUGUAAAGUACUUUCAUCGGGGAGGAAAAACAAAACUAAUAAUUUUAUUUCUUGACGUUACCCGAAAAAGAAGCACCGGCUAACUCCGUGCCAGCAGCCGCGGUAAUACGGAGGGUGCUAGCGUUAAUCAGAAUUACUGGGCGUAAAGAGCACGUAGGUGGUUUUUUUAAGUUCAGAUGUGAAAUCCCUGGGCUUAACCUAAGAACUGCAUUUUGAAACUGAAAUACUAGAGUAUCGUAGAGGGAGGUAGAAUUCUAGGUGUAGCGGUGAAAUGCGUAGAUAUCUGGAGGAAUACCUGUGGCGAAAGCGGCCUCCUAAACGAAUACUGACACUGAGGGUGCGAAAGCGUGGGGAGCAAACAGGGAUUAGAUACC